AUUGGGACUGAGAUACGGCCCAGACUCCUACGGGAGGCAGCAGUGGGGAAUAUUGCACAAUGGGCGCAAGCCUGAUGCAGCGACGCCGCGUGCGGGAUGACGGCCUUCGGGUUGUAAACCGCUUUUGAUUGGGAGCAAGCCCUUCGGGGUGAGUGUACCUUUCGAAUAAGCACCGGCUAACUACGUGCCAGCAGCCGCGGUAAUACGUAGGGUGCAAGCGUUAUCCGGAAUUAUUGGGCGUAAAGGGCUCGUAGGCGGUUCGUCGCGUCCGGUGUGAAAGUCCAUCGCUUAACGGUGGAUCCGCGCCGGGUACGGGCGGGCUUGAGUGCGGUAGGGGAGACUGGAAUUCCCGGUGUAACGGUGGAAUGUGUAGAUAUCGGGAAGAACACCAAUGGCGAAGGCAGGUCUCUGGGCCGUCACUGACGCUGAGGAGCGAAAGCGUGGGGAGCGAACAGGAUUAGAUACCCUGGUAGUCCACGCCGUAAACGGUGGAUGCUGGAUGUGGGGACCAUUCCACGGUCUCCGUGUCGGAGCCAACGCGUUAAGCAUCCCGCCUGGGGAGUACGGCCGCAAGGCUAAAACUCAAAGAAAUUGACGGGGGCCCGCACAAGCGGCGGAGCAUGCGGAUUAAUUCGAUGCAACGCGAAGAACCUUACCUGGGCUUGACAUGUUCCCGACAGCCCCAGAGAUGGGGCCUCCCUUCGGGGCGGGUUCACAGGUGGUGCAUGGUCGUCGUCAGCUCGUGUCGUGAGAUGUUGGGUUAAGUCCCGCAACGAGCGCAACCCUCGCCCUGUGUUGCCAGCACGUCGUGGUGGGAACUCACGGGGGACCGCCGGGGUCAACUCGGAGGAAGGUGGGGAUGACGUCAGAUCAUCAUGCCCCUUACGUCCAGGGCUUCACGCAUGCUACAAUGGCCGGUACAACGGGAUGCGACCUCGUGAGGGGGAGCGGAUCCCUUAAAACCGGUCUCAGUUCGGAUUGGAGUCUGCAACCCGACUCCAUGAAGGCGGAGUCGCUAGUAAUCGCGGAUCAGCAACGCCGCGGUGAAUGCGUUCCCGGGCCUUGUACACACCGCCCGUCAAGUCAUGAAAGUGGGUAGCACCCGAAGCCGGUGGCCCAACCUUUUUGGGGGGAGCCGUCUAAGGUGAGACUCGUGAUUGGGACUAAGUCGUAACAAGGUAGCCGUACCGGAAGGUGCGGCUG
rnacentral:rRNA from 1 species